AACGAACGCUGGCGGCAUGCCUAACACAUGCAAGUCGAACGAUGCUUUCGGGCUUAGUGGCGCACGUGUGCGUACCGCGUGGGAAUCUGCCCUUGGGUUCGGAAUAACAGUGAGAAAUAGCUGCUAAUACCGGAUGAUGUCUUCGGACCAAAGAUUUAUCGCCCCGGGAUGAGCCCGCGUAGGAUUAGCGAGUUGGUGGGGUAAUGGCCUACCAAGGCGUCGAUCCUUAGCUGGUCUGAGAGGAGGAUCAGCCACACUGGGAGUGAGACACGGCCCAGACUCCUACGGGAGGGAGGAGUGGGGAAUAUAGGACAAGGGGCGCUAGCCUGAUCCAGCAAGGCCGGGUGAGUGAUGAAGGCCGUAGGGAUGUAAAGCUCUUUUACCCGGGACGAUAAUGACAGUACCGGGAGAAUAAGCACCGGCUAACUCCGUG
rnacentral:rRNA from 1 species